UGGGGAAUCUUGGACAAUGGGGGCAACCCUGAUCCAGCCAUGCCGCGUGAGCGAUGAAGGCCCUAGGGUUGUAAAGCUCUUUCACCCGUGAAGAUAAUGACGGUAGCGGGAGAAGAAGCCCCGGCUAACUCCGUGCCAGCAGCCGCGGUAAUACGGAGGGGGCUAGCGUUGUUCGGAAUUACUGGGCGUAAAGGGCGCGUAGGCGGAUGUUCAAGUCGGGGGUGAAAUCCCGGGGCUCAACCCCGGAACUGCCUCCGAUACUGGACGUCUCGAGGACGGGAGAGGCGAGUGGAAUGCCGAGUGUAGAGGUGAAAUUCGUAGAUAUUCGGCGGAACACCCGUGGCGAAGGCGGCUCGCUGGUCCGUUUCUGACGCUGAGGCGCGAAAGCGUGGGGAGCAAACAGGAUUAGAUACCCUGGUAGACCACGCCGUAAACGAUGAGUGCCAGACGUCGGGAGGCAUGCCCUUCGGUGUCGCAGCUAACGCAGUAAGCACUCCGCCUGGGGA
rnacentral:rRNA from 1 species